CAGGUGUGCACACUGGCAGUCAUUUUGAGCACCAGUCUGAGCUAACCCAGCCUCUGCAGAAGAUAGAGCUGCAGGGGAUGGCUCACAGCGAGUCUGUGGAGUGAAUCUCAAUAGAGUUUCCUGUAAUGUUACAGGUAUACAAGACUUAAGUGAACAUGGACCCAAACUGGAGAAGACACUGGACCUGAAACUAAAGGACAGGACUAGAGGACCACGUGAGGUCACAACUAUCGUGGAAGGACUUCCUGGUGCCUCAGAGCAUGAUGCAUGUUGCAUUCCCCACUGGCAGAUGGAAGACUUGGCCACCAGAAGCCUGCUGCUGUGUCACUUGAAAGCCACACUCAGCUUUG